UUUGUCUGUUUUUUACAAAGG
rnacentral:piRNA from 1 species